CCGCUCACCCGCCCGGGGCGCCGCAGCCCGCGCGUCCGGCGCGGGGUCCGCGGGCAGGCCUGGCUUGGGGGUCCCCUCUGCGCGGCGGGGCUCUUGGGAGUGUGUGUGUGUUGGGGGAGGGAGUAGCCGUGCUUGUCACCUCCCCUAGGGUCAGGACUCGGAGCUUCGCGUGUGUUGGUGGCUGAAGUGUAGCGCUGAGAUCGGCAGCUGAAGGGUUAAUUCCAUUUAGUUGUUUUCUUCCAAGCGCCGUGUUCUUAACGCGGCCGGGGUUUGGAAAGGGUGGAAUUGGGCUUGUCACAUUUUUAAGGCGCUUGGGGGAUUGAGGUUUCCUUCGGGUUUGGCCUGUGAGGGCAGCGGAAGGGUUAACUCCAGCUUGUCACUUUCCUGAAGGGUGGGAUUUGGCGACUCCGUGUGUCCCGUGAGAAAGCAUAAAAAUUGAGAUCCUCUCAACUAACCACUCGGGACGAAGAGCCCCGAUGUAGGAAAGCAGGGGACCGGUGGGGACUCAUUCCUGAAUUCUGUGGGCAGCUUCUCCGCUGUAAUUCAGUUACUGGUUUUCACCCGUUCCCCGAGGGGCCAAGAUCAAGUUGAUUGUGCUGCGCUCACCGAUACACCAGAAAUACAUCUACAUGUGGAACAACUCCUACAGAACACCUACUGAACGCUGGCAGAAGACCUCAGACCUCCCAAAAGGCAAGAAACUCCCCACGUACCUGGGUAGGGUGAAAGAAAAAAGAAUAAACAGACAAAAGAAUAGGGACGGGACUUGCACCAGUGGGAGGGAGCUGUGAGGGAGGAAAGGUUUCCACACACUAGGAAGCCCCUUCGCGGGCGGAGACUGCGGGUGGCGGAGGGGGAAGCUUCGGAGCCAGAACCGCGGAGGAGAGCGCAGCAAGAGGGGUGCGGAGGGCAAAGCAGAGAGAUUCCAGCACAGAGGAUCGGUGCCAAUUGGCACUCACCAGCCCGAGAGGCUUGUCUGCUCACCCGCCAGGGCAGGCGGGGCUGGGAGAGGGCUGGGGUUGGCGGCGUGAGCACAGCCUGCAGGGGGUUAGUGCACCACGGCUAGCCGGGAGGGAGUCCGGGGAAAAGUCUGGACCUGCAGAAGAGGCAAGAGACCUUUUCUACCCUCUUUGUUUCCUGGUGCGCGAGGAGAGGGGAUUAAGAGUGCUGCUUAAAGGAGCUCCAGAGACGGGCACGAGCUGCGGCUAAAAGCGCGGACCCCAGAGACGGGCAUGAGAUGCUAAGGCUGCUGCUGCUGCCACUAAGAAGCCUGUGUGCGAGCACAGGUCACUAUCCAUACCCCCUUUCUGGAGAGCCUGUGCAGCCCCCCACUGCCAGGGUACCGGGAUCUAGGGACAACUUCCCGGGGAGAACACAAGGCGCACCUGAGGCUGCUGCAAUGUCCCACUGGCCUCUGCCACCGCAGGCUCACCCCGCACUCUGUGCCCCUCCCUCCCCCCAGCCUGAGUGAGCCAGAGCCCCCGAAUCAGCGGCUCUUUUAACCCCGUCCUGUCUGAGCGAAGAACAGAUGCCCUCCGGCGGCCUACACGCAGAGGCGGGGCCAAAUCCAAAGCAGAGCCACGGGAGCUGUGAGAACAAAGAAGAGAAAGGGAAAUCUCUCCCAGCAGCCUCAGAAGCAGUGGAUUAAAGCUCCACAAUCAACUUGAUGUACCCUGCAUCUGUGGAAUACCUGAAUAGACAACGAGUCAUCCCAAAUUGAGGAGGUGGACUUUGGAGAGCAAGAUUUAUUAUUUUUUCCCCUUUUCCUCUUUUUGUAAGUAUGUGUAUGCUUCUGUGUCAGAUUUUGUCUGUAUAGCUUUGCUUCCACCAUUUGUCCUAGGGUUCUAUCCUUCCUUUUUUUUUUAAAAAUCUUUUUCUUAAUAAUUAUUUUUUAUUUUAAUUUAAUUUUAUUUUAUCUUACUUUAUUUUAUUUUACUUUAUCUUCUUUCUUUCUUUCCUUCCUUCCCACCCUCCCUCCCUCCCUCGCUCCUUUCUUUCUUUCUCCUUCCUUCCUUCCUUCCUUCCUUCCUCCCUUCCUCCCUUCCUCCCUUCCUCUCUCCCUUCCUCCCUCCCUCCCUCCCUCCC